GUCCCAAAGUGUGUGUUAAGUGGAAAAGGAUGUGGGAUUUCAUAGACAACUAGGAUGUUGGCUUAGAAGCAGCCAUACAUUUAAAGAGUGCGUAACAGCUCACUAGUCGAGAAAACCUGCGCCGAAAAUUUAACGGGGCUAAAACACGACACCGAAGCUACGGAUUUCCUACUAGGUAGGAAGUGGUAGAGGAGCAUCCUGCAAGGACGAAGCCAAAGUGAGAACGAUGGUGGACGAAACAGGAGAGAGAAUGCCGGAAUGAGUAGCGAGAUAGAAGUAAGAAACUUCUAGGCCGAAUAUCUAAGGUUUCCUGGGUAAAGCUAAUCUUCCCAGGGUUAGUCGGGGCCUAAGGCGAGGACGAAAGUCGUAGUCGAUGGAUAACAGGUUGAUAUUCCUGUACUACGUAUCAUCAGAACUGUGGGGACGCAGGAGGAUAGGAAAACCGGGGAAUGGAAAAACCCGGCCAAGUACAAAGUCAAGGGAGAUAGGCAAAUCCGUCUCUUGAUGAUGAAGUGCGAUGGGGACUGAACAAAAGUAGGGAAGUUUCCGAAUCCACACUGUCGAGAAAAGCCGCUAUUGUGUGAUACGUACCCGUACCGUAAACCGACACAGGUAGAUGAGGAGAAAAUCCACAGGCCGACGGGAGAAGUGUUGUUAAGGAACUCGGCAAAAUGACCCCGUAACUUAGGGAGAAGGGGAGCCACGCAAGUGGCCGCAGAAAAGAGGCUCAAGCGACUGUUUAGCAAAAACACAGGUCUCUGCGAAACCGAAAGGUGAAGUAUAGGGGCUGACACCUGCCCGGUGCUGGAAGGUUAAAAGGAGAGGUUCGACGUAAGUCAAAGCUUUGAAUUCAAGCCCCAGUAAACGGCGGCCGUAACUAUAACGGUCCUAAGGUAGCGAAAUUCCUUGUCAGGUAAGUUCUGACCCGCACGAAAGGUGUAACGAUUUGAGCACUGUCUCGACAACACGCCCGGUGAAAUUGAAGAACCAGUGAAGAUACUGGUUACCCGCAACAGGACGGAAAGACCCCAUGGAGCUUUACUGCAGCCUGAUACUGGGAUUCGAUGAUAUAUGUACAGGAUAGGAGGGAGACUAGGAAUCCGGGACGCCAGUUUCGGAGGAGUCGACGGUGGGAUACCUCUCUUAUGUUAUUGGAUUUCUAACUUGGCACCGUGAUCCGGUGUGAGGACAAUGUCAGGCGGGCAGUUUGACUGGGGCGGUCGCCUCCUAAAAGGUAACGGAGGCGCUCGAAGGUCACCUCAGAAUGAUUGGAAACCAUUCAAAGAGUGUAAAGGCAAAAGGUGGCUUGACUGCGACACCGACGGGUGGAGCAGGUACGAAAGUAGGACUUAGUGAUCC
rnacentral:rRNA from 1 species